GACGAACGCUGGCGGCGUGCUUAACACAUGCAAGUCGAGCGGUAAGGCCCUUUCGGGGGUACGACGAGCGGCGAACGGGUGAGUAACACGUGGGUGACCUGCCCUUAGCUCUGGGAUAAGCCUGGGAAACUGGGUCUAAUACCGGAUAUGACUCCAUAACGCAUGUUGUGGGGUGGAAAGCCUUGUGCGGCUAGGGAUGGGCCCGCGGCCUAUCAGCUUGUUGGUGGGGGUGAUGGCCCACCAAGGCGACGACGGGUAGCCGGCCUGAGAGGGCGACCGGCCACACUGGGACUGAGACACGGCCCAGACUCCUACGGGAGGCAGCAGUGGGGAAUCUUGCGCAAUGGGCGAAAG
rnacentral:rRNA from 1 species